GAUGAACGCUGGCGGCGUGCCUAAUACAUGCGAGUCGAGCGAACAGACAAGGAGCUUUCUCCUCUGACGUUAUCCGCGGACGGGUGAGUAACACGUGGAUAACCUACCUAUAAGACUGGGAUAACUUCGGGAAACCGGAGCUAAUACCGGAUAAUAUAUUGAACCGCAUGGUUCAAUAGUGAAAGACGGUUUUGCUUUCACUUAUAGAUUGAUCCCCGCCGCAUUAGCUAGUUGGUAAGGUAACGGCUUACCAAGGCAACGAUGCGAAGCUGACCUGAGCGGGGAGUCGGACACACUGGAACUGAGACACGGUCCAGACUCCUACGGGAGGCAGCAGUAGGGAAUCUUCCGCAAUGGGCGAAAGCCUGACCGAGCACAGCCGCGUGAGUGAUGAAGGUCUUCGGAUCGUAAAACUCUGUUAUUAGGGAAGAACAAAUGUGUAAGUAACUAUGCACGUCUUGACGGUACCUAAUCAGAAAGCCACGGCUAACUACGUG
rnacentral:rRNA from 1 species